GAUUCUUCCAACAACCCAAGGAGGUAGUCAAGAUGAAAUCAGCUGAGAAACUGUCCAUCACAUAUGCUACCUGAAGAGUACAAACUGAGUCAUCAUCAAUUUGAGACAAGACAAGGUUCAGUUUUGAGGCUAAAUGACCUCAAACUUUCAGAACAUCAUAUCAGACCAUUUUUGGCUCAUUUAGCGUCUAAUAUUGAUUUGUGAAGCACUUUGAUGACUGGAGACAAGAGGAGCAAUCUCCUUCCUAUUUGAUGCUGCUAUCUACUGUCACUCAAACUUUCUUGAUCUUCUAGAACCAUUCAUUCCAUUUGAACAGCAAGAAAAGUGAUAUUAGCAGUAAGACUUGAAGACAGUCCUCUAACUCUUGAAGAUUUUGUUGGGAAGUUGACUGAACAUCCUGUCUGGCUUCUGAGGCAUUAGUAAAUAUUCAUGCCGAUUGCUGGGAAUGUAAUGGUCAAAAAAAGAGACAUGGUCCA